UACGUAGGGGGCGAGCGUUGUCCGGGAAUCAUUGGGCGUAAAGCGCGUGUAGGCGGCCCGGUAAGUCCGCUGUGAAAGUCCAGGGCUCAACCCUGGGAUGCCGGUGGAUACUGUCGGGCUCGAGUCCGGAAGAGGCGAGUGGAAUUCCUGGUGUAGCGGUGAAAUGCGCAGAUAUCAGGAGGAACACCAAUGGCGAAGGCAGCUCGCUGGGACGGACUGACGCUGAGACGCGAAAGCGUGGGGAGCGAACAGG
rnacentral:rRNA from 1 species